GAACGCCAUCUCUUCGACACUAAACACUAAUUUCGGGAAGAAAAAAAAUUGAGACAAAAAUAGAGAGGAGAGAGAAAAUGGAGGAAAGUGAAGUAAAAAAAAAAACAUACCUGUACUCCCAAGUCAGGAAACCAGAUUUGUAGAGGAGAAAGUGCAAAGGUUCCUAGUAAUUGAAGACUUCAUAAUUUUGGAGCAUAAUUGUGGAUUGAAUCGUUCAAUUGGCUACUUCUUGGAAAUUUUGGUGGUUUGUUUAUUUGGCAAGCGUCCCCUCCAAACUACUCUUAAAGAUUCUUUAGAGCAUUGACAUCUACAGGUUUGCAGAUGUUGCAUCAUGGGAAUCUGAGAAUGGAGAGCUUGUGUAACAGAUUGUUGCUUUAUUAGGAAUAUAUUAUUAAGUUUGGUUUGAAGUUAACAUUUAUACAGUGUUGGUUUUAAGUACUUUGAUUAUUUAUUAUAUUUAAAGUAUGAAGUUUAGUUAUAUGUUUUCAGCUGCAAAAUUCUGAAUAAGCUGAUACGUUAUUACACGGGAGAUAAUGUUUUGGUAA